rnacentral:lncRNA from 1 species
AACAGAUUAUGUUGUGUGCGUGACGAAAUACGAUUAAAAAAUAUUACUUUUUUAUAGUCGUAAAUAAUAGUAGAAAAUAGAAGUAGAAAUACGUUUAAAAAAAUACUGUUACGACAAACGCACAAACGAAACUGAAAAUGACGAAUACAAAAAUCGAUAAAUCAUAAAUAGAAAAUAGAAGAACACACAGAUUUAUGUAAAAAAAUUUUUUUUGAAAAAAAUCACGGACGAGAGAGGAGAGAACUUCAUUGUCGAGAAAGAAAAUACAAGUUCUGAGUACAAUCAUCAUUUAUCGCCUUUAGAGUAAAACGAUAAAGGAUCGAAAAAAAACUCCUAACUGGUUUCAGAUUUGAUCUAUAUUGAUUGCACGGGGCUCCACCCCCUGUAUCUCCUGGCAAAUGAAGCAGCGGGCUANACUUUAGGUGGAUAAUGAUACCCUGACAAUAUAAAUUUUGGGGAUAUUUUCAUAAAUGCGCCAUUAAGUACCAUAAUAUUAUUAAUGUCUUUUUAAAUUUAACAAGUUGAGUGCACGUACAGAUACACGCAAUAAUUAUUUUAAUUUAUUUUAAAUUAAUAUAAAUUUGUACAUCAUAUUUAUCUAGAAAUUUAUAAUAAAAAUAUAUUUUAUAAAUUCAUAUGUUAUAUUUUAUUAGAAAAUAUUUGUAAUAUUCUGUAUUGUUUUUUUUAUAUACAUUAAAUAUUUUUGUAUAUUUUUGAUUUUUGAUAAAUCUAAAAUUUAAGUAUAUGCUUUAAACUACCGGCAUCAAAAUUUAAUUCAUAUUUAUUUUAGAAUUAAAAAUUUAAUUUUGAUCCCUCAUAAUUAAAUUUUUUUAAUUGUUAAUUCAAAUUUGAGAUAAAAAAUUAAAUUUAAUUCCUGAUUUAAAUUCAAAUUUAAAUUUUAAUAUAAAAUAUAUAGAUAAGAAUGCUAUUUUUUAACAAAUUGAUCAUAAUCGUUAGUUUUUAUUUGAAAUAUUUCUUAACAAAUUGAUCAUAACCGUACGCAAAACUGAAUUUAUAGAUGGUAUGAAUGCUGUUUUUUUAAACAAAAUUGAUUAUAACCGUUCAUUCUUAUUUAAGAUAAUUUUAAUAAAUUAAUCAUAACCGUUUGUAGAAUUGGAUCUAUAGAUGAAUAUGAAUGCUAUUUUUUAAUACAUUGAUCAUAACUGUUCAUUCUUAUUUAAAAUACUUUUUAAUAAAUUAAUCAUAACCAUUCGUAGGGAAUAUUCUUUCUUUUUUUUUUUUGAUUUCGUUUAUUAUUGUAAGAAUUU